UUUCCCGGUACUUCCUCGCCGCCUCGUCACCUCGCUUUCUGAUUGGCUACACGCCACAGUCCACAGGCUGCGUGAUCGUUUGUCCUCGGGGGACACCACACAUGAGAAGAAAUCGGGCCAAAUAAAUCCAACAUGUUGGAUAUCCCCGAUUUGAGAUCGGAGCGGUCCCAACGUCCUUCCGAGCAGAGGAAAGCAGUCUUAACACACCACACACGGCAGGAAUAUCUGAUCAGAUUAUUUUACGAUAAUCGGAGCAUCCUUAAGAUGUCGGAAGGUGUCAAUCGGGGCUAAAAUCGGCCUAAUUAUCCUGCCGUGUGAACCAGCCUUAAGACGCUCGGGAGAAAACAAACACAUAACUUCAUAAUCAUACUUACAGGUUGUGAUUCGGAGAUGCUUGUUGGUCCAAAUAAAGUUUGUAAUGAACCCUCUUUUAUGGCCAAACGCUUUGAAAAUCCCGCCUUGAACUCACCGAGAUUAGAAAAGCAGUCAUCAGUGAAAUGUUGUGAACACAACAAAAGGGAUUUGUUGUACUGCUCUGGUAUUGUGGUAAAAAUGAAUUUUAGCCAUUGUUUCUUCUGAUCUUCAUUCUUUGGCAGUGAAAAUAAAACAAACUUGCCUUUACAAUUAAAAACACACUCCUCUCCUCGACAUGAUGCUAUCACACCAACUACUAACCAAAGCGUCUGUGUGGGGGGUGGGGCAGGUCAGAGUUUUGUUUCUCCCCAGACGGUAGGCGGAGAUUAUUAUGCAAAGUGUUCUCGUUACGUACAAAGAGAUGGGCAAAAGAUUUGAAAUCUAUAACGACUCGUUUCAGCGAUUCAGAGUCGACUCCUUACUUUAGAAGCCAAUAACUUUAUAAAUCGUGUACUUUUUGGUUUAAUUACUUUGCACAUUGUUUACACUGAUGGACAGCUACAUCAUACACUGUAAUACAGGUAAUUUUUGAUUUCCCAUCUGUGUGGCUCUUUAA